rnacentral:rRNA from 1 species
UACGGAGGGUGCAAGCGUUAUCCGGAAUUAUUGGGCGUAAAGCGUCCGCAGGUGGCACUUCAAGUCUGCUGUGAAAGACUGGGGCUUAACCCCGGAAAGGCGGUGGAAACUGAAGCGCUAGAGUGCGGUAGGGGUAGAGGGAAUUCCCGGUGUAGCGGUGAAAUGCGUAGAGAUCGGGAAGAACAUCGGUGGCGAAAGCGCUCUACUGGACCGCAACUGACACUCAGGGACGAAAGCUAGGGGAGCGAAUGGG